GAUGAACGCUGGCGGCGUGCUUAACACAUGCAAGUCGAACGGAAAGGCCCAAGCUUGCUUGGGUACUCGAGUGGCGAACGGGUGAGUAACACGUGGGUGAUCUGCCCUGCACUUCGGGAUAAGCCUGGGAAACUGGGUCUAAUACCGGAUAGGACCACAUUUUGGAUGGUGUGGUGGAAAGUUUUUCGGUGUGGGAUGAGCUCGCGGCCUAUCAGCUUGUUGGUGGGGUAAUGGCCUACCAAGGCGUCGACGGGUAGCCGGCCUGAGAGGGUGUACGGCCACAUUGGGACUGAGAGACGGCCCAGACUCCUACGGGAGGAAGCAGUGGGGAAUAUUGCACAAUGGGCGCAAGCCUGAGGCAGCGACGCCGCGUGGGGGAUGACGGCCUUCGGGUUGUAAACUCCUUUCGCUAGGGACGAAGCGUUUUUGUGACGGUACCUGGAGAAGAAGCACCGGCUAACUACGUG
rnacentral:rRNA from 1 species